AUCCUCACGCGCCUCUUGUACUUCGGGUGUGGAGCCAGCCUCGUCACCUCCACUGCCACCGUCUUGUCGCUCGUUGCGCACACCACGCGUCCUUGCAUCGUCUUCAUGGCUCUUAUCGCCGGGACUAAACCAGGCUUCCUAGUGUUCGGAAAGGAAAUGGGUUUGGAGAGAGAAGAGAGUGGAGUGGAGCCAUGGUUGAAUGGGGAGGAGGAGACCUUCAGAGACUGCAGAGAUGAGGCUAGCGACGCCAUUGAUUGAGGGGGACGAAGAAGAUAAGGUGAGAUUUAUAUAGUGGAAAGCAGAUGUGUGAUCCACUUGAAUAUUGGGCUGUUAAUAGACUAUUGGGUCUAAUCAUGCAUCUCUAUAAGCAAAAUAUAUUUAUAUAUUGGCCCGUGACUAAGCCUUUUAAUAAACUUCUAUUGUCAACUUUUGUUUUAUAUUCAGCUGAAACAAAAAUUUAUAUUUACUCCGUUCUCAAAAGUAAGAUUUUCUAGAUUUUUUCUUGUUUCACAAAAAUACAUUUUCUAUGUUUUUAAGAUACUCUUGUAUACUUUUGAGAAACAUUAAUUACAAAUAUUUGAAUUGAUUAGAUUUAAUUGGUGAAAAGUAAUUAGAAAUUAUAUAGAAAAUAAAUAAUAAAUUAAACUAUCAAAAUUUAUUAUAUUUUUAAUAAACAUAAAAUCUCUAGAAAAUCUUACUUUCAGAAACAGAGGUAGUAGAUUUUUUUCAUCUUAUUCAUUAAAAUCGUUCACUCUUGACUUAAAAAACCACUUACAUAUUGCAUUAGCUCUCGAAGUUUAAUUCAGGAGCAUUUCAAAAAUCAAAUUUCAAGUGGCGGGAAAACGAGGGUUGUGCAUGUCAAGAUUUUUUGGAAAUGCUCUUACAAAUCUAGGAACAUUUCCAGUAAUAAUUUGUAUAUCUAGAUUUUUUGAGGAGAAGAUCUUUUGUGUGCUCCCUCGUGACUUAGGUUUCUUUUUCCUAUCAUAUGUGAAGUGUGAAGUUUUGGAUUUUAACGGUGCCUUUGAUAUAUGGUGUUUUAUACAUCUUGUAUAUAUGCUUUUCAAUUGGUUUUCAAGUCUUUAUCGAGUCUUCCUAGUUCUUUUCGAGUCAUUACAGGUCUGGAGUUGCAUUGGAUGACAGAUGGACCAGCUGGAGGGAAAGAGUACAAUUUGGAGUUUUUCACGCAGAACAGUCUGACGACUGUUCCGACCAAGCGGAACAACCAAGCGGAGCAACCCAAGUGACUGUUCCCGCAGCAGAGAUUUUUAAAGAAACUACAAUCAUUACGGGAUUUGCCCUAAUUAUCCCUAUUUUCUCUCCCAGCCGCCUCUGGCUUUGAUAUAUCAUAUUUUCUGCUUCUCUUUAUCAUACUACGCUAGUUUACAGAGAGGAACCAAACCCAAAAACUCCAUUGUUGGAUUUGCUUAUUGUAAAGGGAGAAGGAUCUCUACACUCUUGAGAAGAAUCCUGAACCCUAUCUCUUUUAUUUUAUUGAUUCAAUAUGUUUUCUUCAUAUGUUAUAUCUGUGUUCUCUGUAGCUAUGGUUGAGUAGUCACCUUGCUUAGUCUAGGGUGUUAGGGUGUUUAGAUCUAUGAGCUAAAUACAAAUAAGGAUUUAUGUUUUGAUUGUCUCUAUUCAUGAUUGCGCUUACUGCCUGCAUUAAACUAGCUACUUAGUGCCUGAUUUUUAGGUUUAAUCUAAUCAUCAAAAGUGUUUUAGGUUGCUAGAAAUAUCAUGAAUGGGCGAUUUGUCCCUAACCAGCGAAAGUAGAUGUUAGGGCAAAUUGUGAACAAAUCGAAUCUGAACUUAAUGUUUGUCUUCAUAUUCUAAUCCAAACGACAGUUUAGGUGUUAGAAUUGCUUGAUAAAAGGGGAGACACCACGACAGUGGGUCAAACUUUAUUUGUUUUUCGAGUUCUAGACUUGUUUGAAUUGUUCCUUGAAUAUUUAUUUGGCUCAUGAUCGCUUUGACACCGGAUCAAUCGCCCUAGACUUAGCAUCUUUUAAAAUCUUAAACUUUAAUUCAAUCUAUUACUUGCUUGUUACGAUUCCUCAAACCAAAAACCCCCAUAUUGUUUUAGCUAGAUAUUGAUCCCAUAAAGAUAAAGUGUAAUCUUUGGUCUCUGUGGAUUCGAUCCUAAAGUGCUACAUCGACAUACCAUUCGAUUGUGGUAGUGUGCACAUUAGGUUAAUUGGUGUGCGUAUACACGUAAUAUCAGCCUUCUUGCCAAAAGAGGGGAGAGGCGGUGAGUUGUUGGGUGGUGGUUGUGGAGAGGAGGUGCGACAGUGUUUGAACUGAUGAAUCUGAUUAAAAAAUCUUGCCAUUUUGGAGGAAAGCACUGGGUCUUGAAAGGAGUUCCCGACAGCAUCGGCCAAAAAUCUUGAAAAUUUAAAACGUUUAUAUUCGGUCGAACGAGUUUCGUAAGACAGUUAUACCCGGUCCAGAGAGUUAAGUAGAAAAGUUAUAUUAAUUAGGGGUUUAGGGGUUUUAGGAUCUAUGUUCUAAUAUCAUGUUAGAUUCAAGUUUAUUAUAGACUUCCAACUUAACAUUAAUUGCGAUAAGUAAACUGGCUCUAACCUUUUGUAUGUGACAUAAAGUUUUCUUAAAUUCCCGAUGUGGGAAACUAUAUCCCUAAUACCCCUCUUCAAGACGAUAAUUUUUAUCAGGCAAAAAUUUCGUAACUGCAUUAACUAAAGAAGUUAUAUUAAUCAAAGGUUUAGGGGUUUUAGGAUCAUAUUCUAAUACUAUAUUAGAUUUGAGUUUAUUAUGAAUUUCUAACUUAAAACCAAUUGAUAAUAAGUGGAUUGGUUCUAAACCUUUAUAUAUUAUUUAAUUAAUGUCUCUUAGAAUUCUUGAUGUGAGAUACUAUAUCUCUAAAACUCCUAUCUAUCCUUUUUUUAACUCUUUCGAUGAGGGCUCAAAAAUUUUACGGACCUACUGCAAAAAGAAUUUUGGAUCCUUAAAACUAAUAACGGUUCAAAGUUUUAAAUAAAUUUGUUUUUAAUUAACAAAUAAUUAUAAAUAUUUUUUUACAAAAAUUGUGAUGAAAACAAAUAUAUAUAUAUAUAUAUAUAUAUAUAUAUAUAUAUAUAUAUAUAUAUAUAUAUAUAUAUAUAUAUAUAUAUAUAUAUAUAUAUAAAAGAAGUUUAGCCUUUUAUAAUAUAUUUUAACAUAAAAUUACAUGUAUAUUUUAAAAGCCGGACCCUUAACUAUUAAGAAGUGGGAACUGGGAAGACAUUAGAUUUGACCGGGUGGCGGUCGUUCUAAUUGUCCCCCAUUUAAGACGCCCCUGCUUUAGAUGAGUGUCUCCUGCAUAGUCCUCUUUCGGUGUUUGGUGGCGGUGGUGCUGAUGGGUCCUUGUUCCGGCUUGUCUUCGCUUUGGUUCCCCCACGGCUGUGACGGUGGCCGGGCAGCAUAGGGUGUAUGGAGGGUAUAAUGAGAGAGGGAAAAGCUUGCGAGUUGUUUGGGAUAGAAGAGGUGUCGUGGGAGGAGAGUAUGGAAGAUAAGAUUUGGGUUAAUGUGUUGAUCGGACUUGGUUUCGCUUACUUUUGUUUUGUUUCUGGAGGUUUCAGAUGAAGAAACUCAUCACAAAAAGGGACAAGAAGAUCACUCAUGUUUUGUUUCGAAUUUUUCAACUCACUUUUUUAUUUUGUUUGGUAAUAGGAGACCUAAUACAAAUCAUCCUGUAUUGACAUUUGGUUGGAAUAUGAAAUGGAAGCUAUUUGAUUGUCACAUUGUGUAGAGUAGCUUGCUUUUGAACUAAAGCAUGGGAAUGUAAGAAGAGAGAGCUUAUCGCUGCAGUACAUUUGGUUCUGCCACAGGUCCAAGGGCUUGUGGUUGGAGAGUCCCCUUUAUAAUAGACCUACCAAUGGAAGUCCAGAAAAAAUGGCCCGUAUGGACACAUUCAAUUGGAGAUGGAAGAACCAUUGAGCCUUUGUUGCUUCACCAUGUAAAAACAACAUCGUGUUUCUUCAGGAAACAUAAGGACACGAAGAUCUGGAGGUAGGUAAAAAAAGAGUCUUCACACAACAAGUAGUUCAACUGAAAAAGAAAUACACAUUCCAAGAACAACAACAGUUCAACUGAAUUACAACUCAAGUUUGGACAAAGACAAAUAAACAACCAAUCUCUACUCUUCCCCUGGCGGCGGCGACGGCUGCUGAGACUCCAUCGGAAUCCCAAGAUCAUUCCUCUUGAGAACAGGAAGUGCGACGAAAGACUUAGUCUUACUGAUGGGUCUGCUCUUUUCAAGCCUCACAACGUCACCCACCUUGAACACGUUAUCAGGGUCAUGCGCCUGAUACUUCUUCUUCAUCCUCACUCGCCUCUUGUACUUCGGGUGUGGAGCCAGCCUCGUCACUUCCACCGCCACCGUCUUGUCGUUCGUUGCGCACACGACGCGUCCUUGCAUCGUCUUCAUGGCUCUUAUCCCCGGGACUAGACCAGGCUUCCUAGUGUUCGGAAAGGAAAUGGGUUUGGAGAGAGAAGAGAGUGGAGUGGAGCCAUGGGUGAAUGGGGAGGAGGAGAUCUUCAGAGACUGCAGAGAUGAGGCUAACGACG
rnacentral:lncRNA from 1 species